AAGAGGCUGUGGAGGCUGGAAUCUAGGGCAAAAUAAAAAAAAUCUGCUGUUAGAUUGGGCAGUAACUGUGGAGGAAUAGGGAUGGUCAACAUUUUAGGUCAAGACCCUGCCUCAGGACUGGAGUACCCUCUGUAUCACAGCACAAGACAUUGGACAGACCAUACUCUGUGCAGUCUAGCUGCUCAGCUAUAGCAUUAAUGCUGCACAGGGUGUGCAAAAAUUCACAAGAACGUUACUGGAACUGGAGAGAUCAGAAGCACGGAGAGGAUGGAUAGGCUGUGACAGAUUUCCCUGGAGUACAGGAGGAUGAGAUUUGUGAAAUGAUGAAGAGCAUGGAGAAGCUGAGUGAUUUCCUCUUUUCCCCCAGAGCAGGUGAGUCCAGAACCAAGGGCAUAGAUAGAGGGCAAGAGGGGAAAGAUUUAAAAGGAACAAGGGUUCCUCUUCACACAGAGGGUGGUGAGAAUAUGCCAGGCAGGUAAAAUCAUGAGGUUUAAAAGACAUUUGGACAAGUACGUGGAUAGGAUAGGUUUAGAGGGACAAGGACCAAAUGCAGAUAAAUAGGACUGCCUCAGCUAGAAUACUUCAAUACAACAGACUGUAUGUAAAGCUAGGCUGCUCUCGGAGUAUUGCAUUCAGUUCUGGUUGCCCCAUUGCAUGAUGAACGUGGGGAGGGUGCCAGUGCAGAAGUAGUUCACCAGGAUGCUGCUGGGUUGGAGGGUAUGAGUUAUAAGGAGGUGGGACUAAUUUGGGCUGUUUUCUCUGAAGCAUCAGGGGCUGAGUUUAUACAAUUAUGAGAGGCACGGAUGGGGUAGACAGUCAAGAUCUUCUUCCCUGGUUAGAAAUGCCAGAUACUAGAAACCAUAGCUUUAAGCUGAAAGGAGGAAAGUUUAAACUGGGAUGUGCAGUGUAAGAUUUUUUACACAGUGAGCGGUGUGUUCCUGGACCACAUUGCCAGGGCUGGUGGUGGUGGGAGCAGAUACCAAGAGGCUGGAAGACAGACACGUGAAUGAGCAGGGAAUGGAUGGAGGGGGAUCAUGUGCAGGAGGAAGGGAUUUAGUUUAAUUUGGCAAGGUGUUUGGCACUGACGUUGUGCGCCGAAUAGCUAGUUCCUGCACUGUAGUGAUGGCUGUCUAUGAUUGCCACGGCCUGGGCCGAAGGGGCAGACCCUGUGCUGUGUGACUCUGUGACGGAGUGGAUGGGGCCACUGUAUGAGGAGCAUCAUAAGGUCUACUCACACCAGACUGCAAGUCCAUGGACCCGGGGCCUCCAUAUCCAGCCAAGCCCUCCACGCGGCCGUGUGACCCGCUGGCCGCCAAUGGAUGAGGCCUACCCCGCUUCCAACUUCAGUGGGCUCUCCGCCCCUACCGCAGACCCUCCCAAAAACACAAAGGUGGAAGGGGCGCCACAGAUAGCCAGCGAGUCGAGCAGCGUCUGUGGGAAGGGAUCUGAAGAGUAGAAUCUUUCUCCAGAGAAGUUGUCCUCCACACCCCCCUUCCCCCGUUCCAGGGAUCUUCUCGGAGGCGCGGCGUCUGCAGAGGAGUCUGGACUUAACGCUGGUGACAGGUACACCCUUCGCCCAUGGGUCCUGUCACCCCCCCCAGCGUGUGACGGGACAAGAUUUCCAGCAUAUAUAGUCUCCCUUGCAUCUCUGCUGGGCUACAGCCCUCAUCACAGCCUAGGUCCAAACGUGAAUCAACAAGCAGAACUCCAGAGGGGAGGGUGAUUUGAGGCUCUAUUGAGGUCCUGAUCUGCAAGUGGCACUCAAACUGCUUUUUUUUUUACGGCGGAUGAGUUCCUGUUCCUGAAGCUCACCAGCUGACCAUCUUCCAACAUCCUGCAGGCAUGGCUUAGAAGAUGGUGCCUCUGGGGUUGGGCCUGUGUGACCCUGUGGAUGACUGAUUCCCGGUCGGUGUUAGUGACUGAAGCAUCGUGAGAGAAGGAACAUCAGGUUUUCAUUGCAGCGGAUGUAUGAAUGGAGGUCUCUAUAGUCCAACAGUCACAUACUCGCAUUCUCUCAGUGGGGGAGAGCAUUUGCUGCCAAUUUUCGGGCUGGAAAUCUCAGAGUAUAAAGCAACGCAGCAGACUAACAGUGAAUGUCAGUCUCCCCUUUCACUGUGAGAAAUGGGUAAUGUCUCUUUGUCCCUUGUUAGUGAGAGGAAGAACCUGUGGCAUGUUGAAAUGUUGGGUAAAUUAUAGCCUUUUUUGACUGCAGAUCAUGGUCUCUUUUUGGGUGCUUGCUGUUGCUUGGCGGCUGGUGGGUGCCGAGGAUUUUGCUGAAAUGUAUGGGAGAGGUUGAGGUUGACGGUUGCUGCGGCUCGCAUGGGGAGAUGGGAGGGGGCUUUGGGGUUCCA